UCCUGGGGUCUGAAAGGCAUCUGCCUCCCGCUCCAGCAUGAACGUGAUGCUGGAGAUGCAGCCACCUCUAUGCUUUUGAUCCCCGAGGGAUUCAUGAAGCCAAGAAACCUGUGCCAGCAUCUGCCUUCCACUGAGCUUCUUGUCAUGGAGAGCUAGAAAGAGAACAUUCGAACUAUAAUGAGUCCCUUCUGGGAGAGUUUUAUUCAUCGCGCUGUACUCAAGUCAAAAACAACUGUCCAAAAGGUUUCGAUGGUCCAAACACAUUCCUGCUCAUUCGGUUGCAAACUCCUUGAAGAGAGAACCAUGACUGUCUUCCUCCGAGUGGCUUCUCUUCAGUGCCUGGCAUGGUGUUGAGGAUUUGUGAAGUCGGUUGGUUUGGGUGUGGAGAAAGCACCAGAGAAAGCCUGCUCCUCAGUUUAUGCUGACCUCUUGCUCAGAGGGAGCGUGUGCUGGAGAUGAGAGAGAAUGACAUCCAGCGAAGCCCCAGUGACGCCGCUCUGACUGUCCUCAGAUGGUGGCUCGAAGAGAAUAGAGUCAGCAAGAAUCUGGAAAUGGAAAAAUCUGGGUUUGAAGCUUGACUGUAGUAUUUGCUACCUUAUAACAUUGGGCAAAUAAUCUCUCUGUUUUUUUGUUAGGAAAAUUGGAAUAAUACAUCUUUUGAGGGGGUAUUCAUGAGGUAACAUGUUAGAUAGGACCUAACGCAGGGGCUGAGUGUCUUUCCCAUAAUUCCCUUCCUGUGCCAGGGACCAGUGACCUUUUUUUCUGAACUUUGCCCUGGAACUAAUUUCUGUUACCCUUGAUGUGACCUUUUUGAAAAAAUCCAUAAAGAAGUUCCUGUGAGGAAAGUCUGGGGAUUCAAAUGCCCAGAGGGAACUGGAUUGCUGUGGGUGGUUAGUCCAAGGCUCCCUUCUCAUUAGAUCUAAGGCCUAACCAUUAGCACUCCUCGUCAUAUGUAAACACACACACACACACACACACACACACACACUUAAUUUCAAUAUAAAUUUGUAUCUGUAUAAGUAACCAUAAACUAUUGUAUUAGUUUUUUAUUGCUGUCACAAUUACUUGAAACAAUAUGAUAAAACAGAUGGGUCUCACAGAGCUAAAAUCAAGGCGUUGGCAGGGAGGCCUGUUCCUUCCGGCUUCUCGAGACUUCCUACAUUCCUAGGCUCAUGGCUUCUGCCUCCUUAAAGGCGGCAGCGGCAGCCUACGUCCUCCUCACAUUGCUAUCUCUCUGGUUCUCCCACUACGGCCAGGCAACAUCUCCUUUUAAGCAUCCAUGUGAUUAUAUUGGCCCCCCUGGAUAAACCAGAAUAAGUUCCACAUCUUAAAGUCACUAACCUUACUCGCAUCUCCAAAGUCCCUUUUGCCACAUAAGAUAUGCGCAAACUUGCAGGGUUAGGGCAUGGGCAUUUUUUUGGGUGGGGGGAAUUAUUCCAUCUGCCACGAUUCUGAGGCAUGUAUUUCAAUCCUGAGGCAUGCAGAAGGCAUAUACGACUGAGAAUUUCUAAGCCACCUCAGUCUAUAAAAUGAAUCCACCCCUUUUGCAAACUUCUGACACUUUGAAACUCUUCUCAGGCUAACGUGCCUGGCCUCCUGCCUCCUCUAAACUGCAUUCCUGAGAAGUCUCGAAACAACUACCAUAAAAAAAACUCUCUGAGUCUCCUAUUUCUGUCUGAACCACCACCGUCUCGUGCUCUGCUAAACUCUUACCCUUCGUGUUGGGGCAGGAAUAGGCACUUGACCUAAUUUGGUCCUGUUGCCAGGCAUCCUGGACUUGAAUGGGAGUCAUAGGGAAGAGGUGUUUUCCUUCCCUGUUUAUCUUGUAAUAGAGGAUGGGGUGAGGCUGGUCUAUCAAUGGCCGCCACAUGCACCGUGGGAUGAAGCCAACAUAACAGAGUGAGAGAAAACAUGAAGAAAAGGUAGAUCCUAUUAGCUUUGAUUGCCACUCAAAUUCCCACCAUUUCUGAAGUUGAACAUCCACGAACUUGUCGAUUAUAUGUUACAAAAUGUUUAAGAUCAUUAGCCAUCAGGGAAAUUCAAAUCAAAACCACACUGAGAUACCACCUUACGCCAGUUAGAAUGGCAAAAAUUUGAAAA